GCACUUCUGAUGAGUCCCACAAUAAGACGAAACGACCUUCCAGUGU
rfam:Schistosoma mansoni, Puerto Rico, WGS project CABG01000000 data, contig: 0147